UCCAGGGUAGCUUAGUGGACAUGGCAUCUGUCCGGUAAGCGGAACACUGUGGGUUCGAUUCCCAUUCCUGGAC
rnacentral:tRNA from 1 species